rnacentral:rRNA from 1 species
GUUGGUGCUUUGUCAGAGGGGUCACACCCGUUCUCUUUCCGAACACGGCAGUUAAGCCCUCUAGAACCGAUGGUACUCGCAAGGGGAGAGUAGGUAGGCGCCAGCA